CGCCUAACACAUGCAAGUCGAACGAGCGAGAGAGAGCUUGCUUUCUCGAGCGAGUGGCGAACGGGUGAGUAACGCGUGAGGAACCUGCCUCAAAGAGGGGGACAACAGUUGGAAACGGCUGCUAAUACCGCAUAAGCCCACAGCUCGGCAUCGAGCAGAGGGAAAAGGAGCAAUCCGCUUUGAGAUGGCCUCGCGUCCGAUUAGCUAGUUGGUGAGGUAACGGCCCACCAAGGCGACGAUCGGUAGCCGGACUGAGAGGUUGAACGGCCACAUUGGGACUGAGACACGGCCCAGACUCCUACGGGAGGCAGCAGUGGGGAAUAUUGCACAAUGGGGGAAACCCUGAUGCAGCGACGCCGCGUGGAGGAAGAAGGUCUUCGGAUUGUAAACUCCUGUUGUUGAGGAAGAUAAUGACGGUACUCAACAAGGAAGUGACGGCUAACUACGUGCCAGCAGCCGCGGUAAAACGUAGGUCACAAGCGUUGUCCGGAAUUACUGGGUGUAAAGGGAGCGCAGGCGGGAAGACAAGUUGGAAGUGAAAUCCAUGGGCUCAACCCAUGAACUGCUUUCAAAACUGUUUUUCUUGAGUAGUGCAGAGGUAGGCGGAAUUCCCGGUGUAGCGGUGGAAUGCGUAGAUAUCGGGAGGAACACCAGUGGCGAAGGCGGCCUACUGGGCACCAACUGACGCUGAGGCUCGAAAGUGUGGGUAGCAAACAGGAUUAGAUACCCUGGUAGUCCACACUGUAAACGAUGAUUACUAGGUGUUGGAGGAUUGACCCCUUCAGUGCCGCAGUUAACACAAUAAGUAAUCCACCUGGGGAGUACGACCGCAAGGUUGAAACUCAAAGGAAUUGACGGGGGCCCGCACAAGCAGUGGAGUAUGUGGUUUAAUUCGACGCAACGCGAAGAACCUUACCAAGUCUUGACAUCCUGCGACGCACAUAGAAAUAUGUGUUUCCUUCGGGACGCAGAGACAGGUGGUGCAUGGUUGUCGUCAGCUCGUGUCGUGAGAUGUUGGGUUAAGUCCCGCAACGAGCGCAACCCUUAUGGUCAGUUACUACGCAAGAGGACUCUGGCCAGACUGCCGUUGACAAAACGGAGGAAGGUGGGGAUGACGUCAAAUCAUCAUGCCCUUUAUGACUUGGGCUACACACGUACUACAAUGGCGUUAAACAAAGAGAAGCAAGACCGCGAGGUGGAGCAAAACUCAGAAACAACGUCCCAGUUCGGACUGCAGGCUGCAACUCGCCUGCACGAAGUCGGAAUUGCUAGUAAUCGCAGAUCAGCAUGCUGCGGUGAAUACGUUCCCGGGCCUUGUACACACCGCCCGUCACACCAUGAGAGCCGGGGGGACCCGAAGUCGGUAGUCUAAC
rnacentral:rRNA from 1 species